rnacentral:lncRNA from 1 species
AGUGACCUCCCCGGCGCCCUCGCAGCCAGCCUGGGGACCUCCGUGGCCGGGUGUAACCGCUGGGAAGUGCGAUUUUAUUUUAUUUUAUUUUAUUUUAUUUUAUUUUAUUUUAUUUUAUUUUAUUUUAUUUUAUUUAUUUUAUUUUAUUUAUUUUAUUUUAUUUAUUUUAUUUUAUUUAUUUUAUUUUAUUUAUUUUAUUUUAUUUUAUUUUAUUUUAUUUUAUUUUAUUUUAUUUAUUUUAUUUUAUGUAUUACCUAUUUUCUUAUUUACUUAUGUAUUCGUUCAUUCAUUCAGAAACAGCCUCGCUCUGUCGCCCAAGCCGGAGUGCAAUGGCGCUAUCCUAGCACACUACAACCUCCAACUCCUGGGCUCAAGCAAUGCCUCCUGCCUCAGCCUCCCAAGUAGCUGGGACCACAGGUGCAUGCCACCACACCCGCCUAAUUUUUUUUUUUUUUUUUUUUUUUUUGUAGAGACGGGUGUCUCACUAUGUUGCCCAAGCUGAUCUCGAACUCCCGGGCUCAAGUGAUCCUCCCACCUCGGCCUCCCAGAGUGUUGAGAUUACAGGCGUGAGUCCCUGCACUGGGCUGGAAGUGGGAUUUUAGAGCAGUAUUGCCAGGAGACUUACAGGAGGACCGACCUGGGCCUGGUGGGGGCGAUCAUUCUGGGGCUGUGACAGGGACUAAGCUGCCCUGCGGCCUGCACAGAGACCAGUCAUGUCCCUGCUCAGAGCCCAGCAGGGGGAUCCAGGUGGCCCAGGGCAGUCACACUUAGGGGGCUCUCAGACUAUGUCUGUGUGGUGGACAGAGUUUGCUUUCAGCCACCCACACUGUUGAGAUCUAGCAGAACAUUUCCAGCAUCUUCCGUUGCAGAAGCGGGCAGAAAGCACAAUGUGUACCCAUCAGUCAGAUUCCGCUCCAUGUGUGUCCUUGCUCCUGAUGACAAGGACAUGUUGCUCUGUACAGCCCUAAAUAUCCUCGGGGCAGUGACAAAUACUUGACCACAAACGUUGAGGAUAAAAGGGAAGGGUGUUUGAUGCUAGGCAGGCUUGGGGUAACAAGAGCUGCUUCCAAACAUAGCCCUGAGAAGGCCCUGUGGGGUGUCCUUUGCUCUGACCAUCUCUGAAUCAGCUGAGGCCAGGGUCUAUUCCUGAUGCCUCUGAAGACCUGAGCCAGGCCUGUCCUCCUUUGAGGGGAAAUGUCUGAUCUCCAAACACUGGCCUUAAAGCUCUUCUCUUUUCCUGUCUCUUUGCUACCUACGUCAGCUUCUUGAUGCGUUUUCUUUUCCUUUUUAUGAAACUCCUUACCAACAGGAUGCCUUCUCCUGUGUACAUUGUAUCCAAGGUCUUCAUAAAUUUAUGGACCCAGAAUUGAAAAACCAAGGCUCAUACCUAUAAUUCCAGCACUUCAGGAGGCCGAGGUGGGAGGAUCGCUUGAGCCCAGGAGUUUGGGAACAGUCUGGGCAACAUAUGGAGACCUUGUCUCUACAAAAAAUUUAAAAAUUAGCCGGGUGUGCUGGCAUGCACAUGUGGUCCCAGCUACUUAGGAAGCUGAGGUGGGAGGAUUGUUUGAGCCCAGGAGGUCAAGGCUGCAGUGCGUUAGGAUCACACCACUGCAUUCCAGCCUGGACCACAAAACAAGACCCUGGUUCAGAAAAAAAAAAAAAAAAAGAUUAAUCUCUCAGCACUUGGUCAGUUCCUGAAACCUAGGCAUGUUUGAUUUUUUGCCUCUUUAAAACAUCCAAGCGCAAACCUUGACACCUGCAUUUUAUAAAUAGCAUAAGAGAAAACAGACUACUUAAGCUUAAAACCAAAAAUUCAAGUGUGAUCAAAAGGAUUGCCUUGCUUGUGAUGCAUGGAGCAAAGAAUUCCUCUUUGGAGUGUUGCUAAACGCUCCUGUCAGCUCCUGAAACUGGACCUGCAGUAUCAGUUUUUUACCUGCUGUGAGAUCAGUUGACAGGAUCAACCAGCUUUACACCACGAUCUCUUGUCCCCAAGGGAAUGAUGGAUGCUAUACUUUGGAAAUGGGAUACAGGACUUCGUAGCUACGCUUGCAAAAGGCAUAUCACACAUGAUGCUUGUUUACAAUCAGUGAUUUAUUGACCAUGAGGAAUUUUGCCAUGGAGAAAUUAAGAAGAAGGAAAGGAACAUAAAAGUAUUUUUGAACCAUGCAUAGUGGCUUAUACCGGUAAUCCCAACACUUUGGGAGGCUGAGGAGGGCUGAUCCCUUGAGACCAGGAGUUUAAGACAAGGCUGAGCAACCUAGUGAGACCUCACCGCUACAAAAAAGUUUUCAAUUAGUUAGGUGUGGUGGUGUACACCUGUAGUCUCAGCUACUUGGGGAGGCUGAGGCAGGAUGAGGCAGGAAGAUUGCUUGAGUCCAGGAAUUUGAGACUGCAGUGAACCAUGACUGUGCCACUGUAUUUCAGCUUGGGCAAUAGAGCAAGACCCUGUCUCAAAAAAAAAAAAAAAGAAAAGAAAAGAAAAAAAAAAGGACUGGAUCUGUGUUGGCUUACUGUUAUAUCAGUAGCAACUAUUUUAGCACCUAGCUCAUAGUAGAUGCCCAAUAAAAAUGUAUCAACUGAAUGAAUGAAAGAAAAUGAUAACUUAUAUCAGAAGGAAAUCUACAUCCUUGAUAUCACUCAAAAAAAAUUCCUGUGGCCAGUAGGUGGGGCCACAGUUGUCACUAUUAGCUGGCUUGGAGCAUACAUUAUGGGUGCCCAGUUUACACCCAAAUUUCCACUUUGCCUUUGCUACUGUAAUUGCUGCCCCGUGCCUUUUUUUUUUUUUUUCUUUUUUUUGAGACAGUCUCGCUCUGUUGCCCAGGCUGGAGUGCAGUGGCGGGAUCUCAGCUCACUGCAACCUCUGCCUCCUGGGUUCAAGUGAUUCUCCUGCCUCAGCCUCCCGAGUAUCUGAGACUGCAGGCAUGCGCCACCACACUCAGCUAAUUUUUGUAUUUUUAGUAAAGACAGGGUUUCGUCGUGUUGGCCAGACUAGCCUUGAACACCUGACCUCAGGUGAUCCACCUGCCUCAGCCUCACAAAGUGCUGGGAUUACAGGUGUGAGCCACCACGCCCAGCCCUCAAAGUAGAUUAAACAACAAAAGAGACAUCUUGGUCCCUGCCAUUGGAAUGUCCAGAAAUGAUGCUGGCUUCAGGAAUGACUUGAACCCGCAGCCCAAUGGCAUGAUCAAGAAUCAAUGUUCUUUUUAUCCCUCACUCUGACUGGAAGAUCAGCUUCAUCUGAAGACCAGCUUUCCUCCUGAUGAUGGGAUGGCCACCAGCCAUAGCUGGGGCUUCAUGCAUCCACACCCACAUCCAGUGAAGGGAGAGUGGGGAGGUCUCCCUCCAGGCCCAAGUAGGAGUACUGACAUUCAGUGUGAUUAAGCUGGCUUGGGUCAUAGACUCACCCCUGAACCAUGAUGCCACCAGGAAAAUGGAAUGUGGCCUUUGUCUUGGGUAAAACAAGGCCUCCUGCUGAAGCUACAGAGGAUCAGUUUCCCCCAAAGCACAUGAGUUGCUCAGGUGAGGGGCUGGAUUCUGGAAGGAUGUGUGGGCCCUACUGGGAAGGUACAUGGAUGCUGGCCAGGUAGGCAAUCAAUCAGUGGACAUCUAAUAAGUGAUAUCUGGAAUGAUGCAAGGAAUGUGUCAAAAAUGUCUCUUCAAAUUAAGAUUCUACCCAGGGCCGGGCAUGGUGGCUUAUGCCUGUAAUCCCAGCACUUUGGGAGGCCGAGGAGGGCAGAUCACGAGGUCAGGAGAUCGAGACCAUCCUGGCUAACACGGUGAAACCCCGUCUCUACUAAAAACAUAAAAAAAAAUUAGCCGGGCGAGGUGGUGGGCGCCUGUAGUCCCAGCUACUGGGGAGGCUGAGGCAGGAGAAUGGCGUGAACCUGGGAGGCGGAGCUUGCAGUGAGCUGAGAUCAAGCCACUGCACUCCAGCCUGGGCGACAGAGCGAGACUCUGUCUCAAAAAAAAAAAAAUUCAACCCAGGGCCGGGUGCGGUGGCUCAUGCCUGUAAUCCCAGCACUUUUGGAGACCUAGGCGGGUGGAUCACCUGAGGUCCAGAGUCCGAGACCACCCUGGCCAACAUGGAGAAACCCCGUCUCUACUGAAAACACAAAACAUUAGCUGGGUGUGGUGGUGGGUGCUUGUAAUCCCAGCUACUCGGGAGGCUGAGGCAGGAGCACCGCUUGAACCCGGGAGGCAGAGGUUGCAGUGAGCAGAGAUCACGCCACUGCACUCCAGCCUGGGCAACAGAGUGAGACUCCGUCUCAAAAAAAAAAAAAAAAUUCAACCCCCGAUGAAUGAAGGUGCAAGAGUGAGAACAUGAGAUGCUUGGGGCAUGGUAGGAACUUUUGAUGCGUGUCCUUCAUUUCCCAGACUCAAAGGCAAAUCUAUUAAUACAAUUCCUUCCUGGCAGCAAUCUCCGGGUGCAGAUUCAAGGGAACGUGUUUGCAAAGGAAGGAGAAGGAAAUUUUAGCCACAAAGCUGCAGUUACAGUUGUGCAAGGUCACUCAGAAUGGAUGCAAUUCCUUAGGAAGAGCAAGAGUGUAUAAGGAGAGAAGAGGCUGAGGCUCUCCAACUUCCUGGGACCAGCAGAAAAAGAGGAGCUGGCAAAGAAAGCCAAGGGAGGAUGUCCACAGGAGUAGGAGGAGGCUGGGCACUUUGGGUCAUGCCUGUAAUCCCAGCACUUUAGGAGGCUGAGGCUGGAGGAUCGCUUGGGGCCAAAAGUUUGAGACCAGCCUGAACAACAUAGCGAGACCCCAUCUCUACAAAAAAUUUAAAAAUUAGCCAGGCAUGGUGGUGCACAGCUGUAGUCUCAGCUGCUCAGGAGACCGAGGUGGGAGGAUCGCUUGAGCCCAGGAGGUCAAGCCUGCGGUGAGCUAUUAUUUCACCACUGCACUGUAGCCUGGGCAAUAGGACAAGACUUCGCAUCUUUAAAAAAAAUGUUUUUCUUUUUGUUUUUGUUUUUUGACACGGAGUCUCGCUCUGUCGCCCAGGCUGGAGUGCAGUGGCGCCAUCUCGGCUCACUGCAACCUCUGCCUCCCAGGUUCACGCCAUUCUCCUGCCUCAGUCUCCCCAGUAGCUGGGACUACAGGCGCCCACCACCACACCCGGCUAAUUUUUUGUACUUUUAGUAGAGACAGGGUUUCACCAUGUUAGCCAGGAUGGUCUCGAUCUCCUGACCUUGUGAUCCCCCCGCCUCAGCCUCCCAAAGUGCUGGGAUUACAGAUGUGAGCCACCGCGCCCGGCCAAAAAAAAAUGUUUUUAAAUAAACAAAACAAAGCAAAAGAAGUGGGAGGAGAGUCAGGGAAGAGGGGGUAACAUGGAAGCCAAAGAGGACGUGCACUACAAUCCCCCAGGGAGGCUCUAAGGGUGAGGCCAAUGGAAGGAACCUGGAAUGAGCCUCCCACAGACUGUGAAAUGUCCCCAGGGAAUGGCUCUAGUGAUCACCGUAGCCCCCCGGGUUCUGAUAAUUCCUCUGGCCCAGCAAGCCACCAGGGCAGCUCCUCUCCAGAGCUGGCUGGAGAUGCUACGUCACUGGAUGGAGGCCUCCAGAAUAAGGCCUUGGAAGCCGUGCUGCCUGAGACUGCAGUGUCAGAAGGGUUUCUGAACACGAGCUGGAAGCAAGAGGACCAGAGGGAGAGGCAUCUGGAAUACAUAGUGUUGGGUGGUUGUUGCACACACAGACACGGUGAGCUUGCUCAUUGCAGUAGCUGGCAUGCCUCACCCUGACUGUCACUCUCUCAUGAUACUCCCAAGAGUGGGUGGAGACUGAAACUGCCUUUGCAAAUAUGACAGUGAGCGAAAUCUGACCUGACUCCAUCCUACUUCUAACCUCCAAGCUGCCCUUGGUCAUUCCUGGAUAUCGGCCAAGAUAACUAUGGGAGGAAUUUCGUUUAACUUUUUUUUUUAAUUUUUUUUUUUUUUGAGACUGGGUCUCACUUUGUUACCCAAGUUGGAUUGCAGUGGCCAGAUCAUGGCUUACUGCAGCCUCCAACUCUUGGCCUCAAGCAAUCCUCCAGCCUCAGCCUCCUGAGUAGCUGGGACUACAGGGAAGUGCCAUCAUGCAUGGAUAUUUUUUAAUUUUUGUAGAGAUGGGGUACCUCUAUGUUGCUCAGGUUGGUCUCGAACUCCUGGGCUCUGGCGAUCCUCCUGCCUCAGCCUCUCAAAGUGCUGGGAUUAUAGGUGUAAACCAGCUUAGUUCAAUUUUUUUUUUUUUUUUUGAGACGGAGUCUCACUCUGUCACCCAGGCUGGAGUCAGUGGCGCGAUCUUGGCUCACUGCAACCUCUGCCUCCUGGGUUCAAGCGAUUCUCCUGCCUCAGCCUCCCAAGUAGCUGGGACUACAGGUGUGUGCCACCACACCCAGCUAAUUUUUUUUUUGUAUUUUUAGUAAAGAUGGGGUUUCACCAUAUUGGCCAGGCUGGUCUUGAACUCCUGACCUCGUGAUCUGCCCGCCUUGGCAUCCCAAAGUGCUGGGAUUACAGGUGUGAGCCACCUCACCCAGCCCUAAGUUUAACUUUAAAAAAAUGAUAAAAGCCCCUUCCCAACAACUAGCCCCUCCUUGUUCAUGGACUAAACCACCUUUGUAAAACUAAUAAACAACCAAAGAUUAGGCUUGUGUGAGGAAUAUGAACUCUGCUAAAGUGGAGGCCAACUUCAAUGACAACCAGCCAUUGUUCCAGAAGUCAAAAGAUUCAUAACCUUCCCAGUUGCUCCUAUAGAUAACAUCACUACUGGAAAACCUAAGAUUGGUGUUCAAGGUAUCUUUUAGAUCCUGUAUUGUAAUGGACCAGCUGGUGCCACUGUGACUGGUAAAAGGGCUCAGCUGGUCACAUGAUCCCACCCAGGGACCGGCCCAGCUCAAGAAGAUAGCUCCGGGCUGGGCGCAGUGGCUCACGCCUGUAAUCCCAGCACUUUGGGAGGCCGAGGAGGGCGGAUCACGAGGUCAGGAGAUGGAGACCAUCCUGGCUAACAUGCUGAAACCGCGUCUCUACUAAAAAUACAAAAAAUUAGCCGGGCGUAGUGGCGGGAACCUGUAAUCCCAGCUACUCGGGAGGCUGAGGCAGGAGAAUGGCAUGAACCUGGGAGGCAGAGCUUGCAGUGAGCCAAGAUUAUGCCACUGCACUCCAGCCUGGGCGACAGAGCAAGACUCCGUCUCAAAAAAAAAAAAAAAAGAAGGUAGCUCCAGCCCCCUAGGAUUUCAUCCCCAGUGCAAACAAUGAGGAUUCCCCAUUCCCUAGCCCCCACUCACCAAAUUAUUCUUACAAAACCCUAGUCUCUGAAUUUUCCAGGAGACUGAUUUGAGUGAUAAACUCCAGUCCUUCCACGUGGCUAGCCUUGCAUUAAUUAAGCUUUCUUUACUGCAAUACCGUUGUCUCAGUAAAUUGGCUCUAUCUGUGCAGCUGAAAGAAGAGCCAGUCAGGCGAUUAGACCAUCAAGGGGGAGCAUAUACAGCUGACCCCAAAGUCAUGUUGUCAAAUGCAUCCUCCUUUGUGUCUCUGAAACCAUCACUGCAAAAUUAUAACUGAGAAAAUUAUGACAGUCAAAGAAAUCAGACCUAACCAAUUUUACGCUGUCCUUGUUCAUCCUGGGCAUAGGCUGAACUAACUUUGGGAAGUAAUUCAGUUCAUGGUUUGACUCUGAAACAAAACUGAUAACAGCCCUUUCCCGAAAAGACCCCCUUCUUUCCUGGGGACCAGUCUGACUUUGCAGGACUAACAGAUUAGCUACAAGAUUAGAAAUGACAGUUUAGGGGCUGUGCAGCCUCUGGCUCCAAGAGUCUGAACCUCCCCAGAUUGCUCCUGGGGGUAACAUUACUUUUAUAAAACCUAAGGUCAGUGCUUGAGCUAUUUUGCAGGCCCUGCACUGGAUGGAUCAGCUGACACCAUCCAGACGAGUCAUCGGGCUCCACCAGUUCUGCCAUCCUACCCGGGAACAGAAGACAGCAAGAAAACCUCACUUCGACCUCCCAUGAUUCCAUCUCCAACCUGACCAAUCAGCACUGCCCACAAGCCCCUACCCGCCAAGUUAUCUGUAAAAACUCUGUGGCUCACGCCUGUAAUCCCAGCACUUUGGGAGGCCGAGGCGGGGGGAUCACAAGGUCCGGAGAUCGAGACCAUCCUGGCUAACACAGUGAAACCCCGUCUCUACUAAAAAUACAAAAAAGUAGCCGGGCGCGGUGGUGGGCGCCUGUAGUCCCGGCUACUCAGGAGGCUGAGGCGGGAGAAUGGCAUGAACCCGGGAGGCGGAGCUUGCAGUGAGCUGAGAUCGCACCAUUGCUCUCCAGCCUGGGCGACAGAGCGAGACUCUGUCUCAGACAAAUAAAUAAAUAAAUAAACAAACAAACAAAUAAAUAAAUAAAUAAAAUAAAACUUUGUAAUCUCAGCACUUUGGGAGGCUGAGGCAGGCGGAUCAUGGGAUCAGGAGUUCAAGACCAGCCUGACCAACAUGGUGAAGCCCUGUCUCUACUAAAAAUACAAAAAUUAGCUGGGCAGAGUGGCGCGUGCCUGUAAUCCCAGCUACUCAGGAGGCUGAGGCAGGAGAAUCGCUUGAACCCAGGAGAUGGAGGUUGCAGUAGCCGAUAUCACGCCAUUGCACUCCAGCCUGAGUGACAGAGCAAGAUUCCAUCUCAAAAAAAAGAAAAAACCAACUCUGAUCCCCAAAUGCUCGGGGAGACUGAUUUGAGUAAUAAUAAAACUCCGGUCUCCCGCACAGCUGGCUCUGCAUAAAUUACUCUUUCUCCAUUGCAAUUCCCCUGUCUUGAUAAGUCGGCUCUGUCUAGGCAGCGGGCAAGGUGACCCCUUGGGUGGUUACAUCUCCGUAACUGGACUUAGUGUGGCUGCUGUGACCCACGUUCCAAUGGGACAGCAAACCUGUCUCUCCUACCCUGCUUUUUUUUUUUUUUGAGACAGAGUCUCGCUCUGUCGCCCAGACUGGAGUGCAAUGGCGCAAUCUCUGCUUCCUGGGUUCAAGCAAUUCUCAUGCCUCAGCCUCCCAAGUAGCUGAGAUUACAGGCACACGCCACCAUGCCCAGCUAAUUUUUUUGUUUUUACUAGAGACAGGGUCUCAUCACGUUGGCCAGGCUGGUCUCAAACUCCUGACCUCAAAUGAUCCACCUGCCUUGGCCUCCCAAAGUGCUGGGAUUACAGGCGGGAGCCACUGUGCCUGGCCUGCCCGCCUUCUUGAGUCUCCCCUCUUUGCCCAUGGCUCAGACUUUUACUGCUCUUGGGUAUGAAAAAAAUGAGUUCUUGUGCAAGCAGUCCCACUCUAUGGUUUAUGGUGUAAAACAGAAGCUUUUGCAAUAUUUUUUUUCCCUUCCAAAAUCCCCAACUUUGACACCAAAAAUAUUUUUUUUAAGUUUGUGUAGGAGGUAUAGGGACAAAAAGGUAGCUCUUUUGAAGCUCAAUCUCCCGUCACCUUCCCCCCACACACUCACAGACCCAGCUAAUUCUAGCAUGACUGUUGAGGGGAAGAGCAGCAGGUAGAAGGAACAGGAAGGGCAACUUCAAAGCGUGGUCCACUACAUUUAUUUAUUUAUUUUUAUAAUUUAUGUUUUUGAGAUGGAGUCUUGCUUCUUUGCCCAGGCUGGAGUGCAAUUGGAGCGAUUUCAGUUCACUGUAACCUCUGCCUCCUAAGUUCAAGCAGUUCUCCUGCCUCAGCCUCCCCAGUAGCUGGGAUGACAGGCACAUGCCACCAUGCCUGGCUAAUUUUUGUAUUUUUAGUAGAGACGGGGUUUCACCAUGUUGGCCAGGCUGGCCUUGAACUCCUGACCGCAGGUGAUCCGCCCACCUCGGCCUCCCAAAGUGCUGGGAUUACAGACGUGAGCCACCACGCCCGCUAUUUAUUUAUGUUUAUAUUUAUUUUAUUUUAUUUUUACUUAUUUAUUUAUUUUUGAAACAGUCUUGCUCUGUCGCCCAGGCUGGAGUGCAGUGGCAUGAUCUUGGCUCACUGGAACUUCUGUCUCCUGGGUUCAAUCGAUUCUCCUGCCUCAGCCUCUGGAGUAGCUGGGACUACAGGCACAUGCAACCACGCUUGACUCAUUUUUGUAUUUUUAGUAGAGACAGGGUUUCACCAUGUUGGCCAGGCUGGUCUCAAACUCCUGACCUCAAGUGAUCCGCCCACCUCAGCUUCCCAAAGUGCUGGGAUUACAAGCGUGAGCCACCAUGCCUGGCCAUGCCUGGCCAAUUUAUCCAUUUAAAUUUAAAUUUUAAAUUUUAGAGACAGGAUCUUGCUCUGUUGCCCAGACGGGUCUCCAACUUAUGGCCUCAAGUGAUCCUCCCUCGUCGGCAUCCCAAAAUGCGGGGAUUACAGGCGCCACUGUGCCUGGCCCACUACAUUGAUUUCUAUCAGCCUGACUUAUUCUAGGCAGGACUGGAGAUGGCUUACAUAGGCUCGCAAAAACAAGGUAAAAUAACUUUAAAGAGGCUGAGCACAGUGGCUCAUGCCUGUAAUCCCAGCACUUUGGGAGGUCAAGGUGUGAGGAUCACUCGAGGCCAGAAGUUCGAGUCCAGCCUCGGUAACAAGAAAAUAUGAAAACUAGCCAGUCUUGAUGGUACACUCCUGAGUCCCAGCCACUCAGGAGGCUAAGGUGGGAGGAUCGCUUGAGCCCAGGAAUUUGAAGCUGCAGUGAACCAUGAUCAUGUCACUUCACUCCAGCCUGGGCAACAAAGCGAGACCCUGCCUCAAAUAAAUACAUACAUACGUAACUUUAAAGAGAUUAGACUCAUGGCCAGGCACAGUGGCUCAUGCCUGUAACCCCAGUACUUUGGGAGGCCUAGGCGGGUGGAUCACUUGAGGUCGGGAGUUUGAGAUCAGCCUGACCAAUAUGGUGAAACCCCAUCUCUACUAAAAAUAUAAAAAUUAGCUGGGUGUGGCACAUGUCUGUUAUCUCAGCUACUUGGGAGGCUGAGGCAGGAGAAUCACUUGAACCCAGGAGGCGGAGGUUGCAGUAGCCGAGAUUGCGCCAUUGCACUGCAGCCUGGGUGACAGAGCGAGACCCUGCCUCAAAUAAAUACAUACAUACAUAACUUUAAAGAGAUUAGAAGGGGGGCCAGGCGCAGUGGCUCACGCCUGUAAUCCCAGUACUUUCAGAGGCUGAGCCGGGUGGAUCACUUGAAGUCGGGAGUUUGAGACCAGCCUGACCAACAUGGUGAACCCCCAUCUCUACUAAAAAUACAAAAAUUAGCUGGGCGUGGUGGCACAUGCCUGUAAUCUCUGCUACUAGGGAGGCUGAGGCAGGAGAAUUGCUUGAACCCAUGAGGUGGAGGUUGCCAUGACCUGGGAUCGCGCCACUGCACUCCAGCCUGGGCGACAGAGCAAGACUCUGAAAAAAAAAAAGAGAUUAGAAGGGGAAACAAGAAGAAGAGGAUGUAAACAUAAGACAAGGUGAAGCCAGGUAUACCCAUGGGCUGUUCUUACUUUGAAGUGGAAGUGACUGGGCUCAGAGAGGCUCCCACAGACACCAGGGCUCACAGACCAGCAUACUGGACUUUGAUGUGGUCACUGAUGAAACUUCAUUAUGUAAAGCCACUGAGAUUGGAGGUUGUUACAGUAGCUGGUAUUAACGGUGCUAAUACACUAUGCUGGUUAUUGGUGAAAGCCAUGGCAUAGCUCAGGGCUAACCAUCAAGCCUGCCUUCAAAAUGCCGUUACAUUGGCUGGGCGCAGUGGCUCAUGCCUAUAAUCCCAGCACUUUGGGAGGCUGAGGCAGGUGGAUCACCUGAGGUCAGGAGUUUGAGACCAGCCUGGCCAAUGUGGCAAAACCUCAUCUCUACUAAAAAUACAAAAAUUAGCUGAGCAUGGUGGCGGGCAUCUGUAAUCCCAGCACUUUGGGAGGCUGAGGUGGGAGGAUUGCUUGAUCCCAGGAGUUUGAGACCAGCCUGAGCAACAUAGCAAAACCUUCUCUACAAGUAAUAAAAAAAUCAGUCGGGGCCAGGUACAGUGGCUCACAUCUGUAAUCCCAGCACUUUGAAAGGCUGAGGCGGGUGGAUCACCUGAGGUCAGGAGUUCCAGACCAGCCUGGCGAUCAUGGUGAAACCCCAUCUCUACUAAAAAUAAAAAAUUAGCUAGGUGUGGUGGUGGGCACCUGUAAUCCCAGCUACUCAGGAGGCUGAGGCAGGAGAAUCGCUUGAACCUGGGAGGCAGAGGUUGCAGUGAGCCAAGAUCGCGCCACUGCACUCCAGCCUGGGCAAGAGAACGAGAUUCUGUCUAAAAAAGAAAAAAAUAAAAUGCCGUUACAUCACUGGUCAACUUCAGCUCUCAGUCACUGUGGUGGACAAUCAUCUGGGCCAACCCCCAAUCCUGCAAGCUGUCACCCGUCCUUUUUUCUUUUGUCGCCUGAGAUUUUGAGGACAUAGCGCAGAAACACGGAGGCUUUAGAUAAGAGUGUGUGACUGCAGGAUACAAAUCUCCUGUUUGGCCCAGGUGAGAUGGCUCACUCCUAUAAUCCCAGCACUGUGGGAGGCUGAGGCAGGAGGAUCGUUUGAGCCCAGGAGUUUGAGACCAACCUGAGCAACAUAUCAAGACCCCUUCUCUAGAAGUAAUAAAAAAUCAGUCAGUCGUGGUACGUGCCUGUGGUCCUAGCUGCUCUGGAGGCUGACGCAGGAGGACGGCUUGAGCCUGGGAGGUCGAGGCUGAAGUGAGCCAUGAUAAUCACACCACUGCACUCCAGCCUGGGUGGAGUGCAAGAUUGCGACUCAAAAAAAUAAAAAAAAUCCUCUGUUUGGACCCUGUCUCCUCAGUCCAGAAAGGCUGGAUGUGUCAGCGUGGACUUGGCAGGAAGAGAGCGAGGCGCCAGCCAAUUUUAAACGGGUGUCUGGGUUUUCCCACUCAUUCCCUGUCUGCCCUCCUUUGCUGUCCUUGGCCAAAGCCUACCCAGGCUCUCAACACAUCCAGAAUGAAGAGCCCUUUAGCCAUAUUCUGAUAAAAUUUCACUGUGGCCGUACAUUCAUUUGCUGGGGCUACCUUAACAAAAUACUACAGACCGGAUGGCUUCAACAAUAGACAUUUAUUUUCUUGUGGUUCUGGAGGCUGGAAGUCUGAGAUCAAGGUGUUGGCAGGGCUGGUUCCUCCUGAGGCCUCACUCCUUGGCUUGUGGAUGGCCGCCUUCAUGCUGUGUCUUCACAUGGUCUACCUUCUGUGCUUGUUCAUGUCCAAAUUUCCUCUUCUUAUUUUUAUAUAUUUAUGUUUUUUAGAGACAGAGCCUCUCUCUGUCACCCAGGCUGGAGUGCAGUGGCAUGAUUAUGGCUCACUGCCGCCUCCACUUCCUGGGUUCAAGCAAUUCUCCCACCUCAGCUUCCUGAGUAGCUGGGACUACAGGCAUGCACCAAUAUGUCAGGCUAAUUCUUAAAUUUUUUGUAGAGAUGGGAUCUUGCUAUGUUGACCAGGCUGGGCUCAAGCCAUCCUCCUGCCUUGGCCUCCCACAAAAUUUAGUCUUCUUAUAAGGACAUCAGUCAGAUUGGAUUAGGAUCCACCCUAAUGACCCCAUUUUAACUUAAUUACCUGUUUAAAAGUCCUAUUUCUAGGCCGGGCGCACUCCAGCCUGGGCAACAGAGUGAGACUGUGUAUCUAAAAACAAACAGAAAAGAAUUUGAACUUGUUUCCAAAAUGCACACACAGAAACUCUUUAAACUCAACAAUUAAAACAAUUUUAUUUAUUUAUUUAUUUAUUUAUUUAUUUUUUGAGACAGGGUUUUACUCUUCACCCAGGCUGGAAUAUAGUGGCAAGAUCAUGGCUCACUGCAGUCUUGACCUCCUGGGCUCAAGUGAUGCUCGCAUCUCAGCCUCCUGAGUAGCAGGGAUUACAGGUGUGCACCACCAUACCUAGCUAAUUUUUUGUAGAGAUGGGGAUUCGCCAUGCUGCCCAGACAGGUCUUGAAUUCCUGGGCUCAAGCAAUCUGCUAGCCUCGGCCUCCCAAAAUGCUGGGAUUACAGGUGUGAGCCACCGUGCCUGGCCAAAACAAUUUUUUCUAAAAGACAAAAUAUGUGAAUAGGUACAUCAUCAAAGAAGAAAUACAGGUAGCAAAUAAGGAUAUGAAAAGAUGCUCAACAUCAUUUGACAUUAGGAAAAGGCAAAUUAAAACAUCCCACUUGUAAUCCCAGCAGUUUUUUUUUUUUUUUGAGAUGGAGUCUCACUCUGUUGCCCAGGCUGGAGUGCAGUGGUGUGAUCUUGGCUCACUGCAAGCUCUGCCUCCGAGGUUCACGCCAUUCUCCUGCCUCAGCCUCCCCAGUAGCUGGGACUACAGGUGCCUGCCACCACGCCUGGCUAAUUUUUUUUUGUAUUUUUAGUAGAGA